rnacentral:rRNA from 1 species
UACGUAGGGUGCGAGCGUUAAUCGGAAUUACUGGGCGUAAAGUGUGCGCAGGCGGCCGAGCAAGUCGAGUGUGAAAGCCCCGAGCUUAACUUGGGAACUGCGCUCGAAACUACUUGGCUAGAGUGUGGCAGAGGGAGGUGGAAUUCCUGGUGUAGCAGUGAAAUGCGUAGAUAUCAGGAGGAAUACCGAUGGCGAAGGCAGGUCUCUGGGCUGACACUGACGCUCAUGCACGAAAGCGUGGGGAGCAAACAGG